rnacentral:rRNA from 1 species
UACACUUGACAUCCCUUGCAUUACUCUUAAUCGAGGAAAUCCCUUCGGGGACAAGGUGAC